UGGGGAAUUUUGGACAAUGGGCGCAAGCUUGAUCUUGCCAUGCGGCGGGUCUGAAGUGGGCUUCGGGUUGUAGGGACUUUUGUCANGGAAGAAAAGCNGGGUUAAUACCCCUGUCUGAUGACGGUACCUGAAGAAUAAGCACCGGCUAACUACGUGCCAGCAGCCGCGGAAAAUACGUAGGGGGGCGAGCGUUAAUCGGAUUUACUGGCCGUAAUGUUGCACGCAGAGGUUUACUUAAGCGGGAUGUGAAAUCCCCGGGCUCAACCUGGGAACUGCGUUCUGAACUGGGUGACUAGAGUGGUGUCAAAGGAAGGUAGAAUUCCACGUGUAGCAGUGAAAUGCGUAAAGAUGUGGAGGAAUACCGAUGGCGAAGGAAGCNUCCUGGAANAACACUGACGUUCAUGCCCAAAAGCGGGGGUNGCAAACAGGAUUAGAUACCCUGGUAGNCCACGCCCUAANCGAUGUCGAUAAGNUGUNGGCCNGCAUGANUGCUUAGAAGCGAANNUAACGGGGGNAAACCGACCGCNUNGGNAGNACGNUNGCNAGAUU
rnacentral:rRNA from 1 species